rnacentral:rRNA from 1 species
ACGCCUGCCCAGUGAACAAUUAAACGGCCGCGGUACACUAACCGUGCAAAGGUAGCAUAAUAAUUUGUCUACUAAUUAUAGACCUGCAUGAAAGGCAAAAUGAGGGCUUGACUGUCUCUUAUAGUAAAUCAAUUAAACUGAUCUCCUAGUAAAAAAGCUAGAAUUACCACAUAAGACCAGAAGACCCUGUGAAGCUUAAACUAAACUAUUAAACCAAAUAAUAACUACUUUAGGUUGGGGCGACCUUGGAAAAAGAAUAACUUCCAAACGACACAAAGGCCGACAAGCCAAUAAACGACCCAGCAACGCUGAAAAUUGAACCAAGUUACUCCAGGGAUAACAGCGCAAUCUUCUUCAAGAGCCCAUAUCAAAAAGAAGGUUUACGACCUCGAUGUUGGAUCAGGACAUCCUAAUGGUGCAGAAGCUAUUAAGGGUUCGUUUGUUCAACGAUUAAUNGUCCUACGUGAUCUG